UUACGGCCAGAUCACGUCGAAACAGCGGUACCCGUAUGAUCACCUAAGUUAAGCAACUCCAAGCCUGGUUAUUACCUAGAUGGGUGACGGCUUGUUAAUAUCAGGCGCUGUAAU